rnacentral:sRNA from 1 species
UCUUAUACAGAUUUUUUGUUUGUUUUUUGCCGCAUUUGAUUUGCCUCCGUAACUGUAUUUUAUCACAAUUUCAUAUGAGCCAUACAUACACGCACACACAUGCACAUAUCAUCGUAGAAAUGCAUGUGUAUGGAGAAACCAGUUCCUCGAUAUUCCCACCAAACAGCAAGCCGCACUCUACUCUUGUGACACUUUCGAGAGGAGAACUCCAAGUGGAGUUGGGUUUGGGCUUGGGUUGGGUCUGGCGGUCCGCGUAAGUGAUAAGUGGAAAUGUCAUACAAAAGAUAAUUGAGUUUCCCCGCGCUCAAAGCAUACAGAAAUUGAAAUUUUACAGAAAAGCUGUGCAUUGUAUUUUACAUGGAAUUCAAGCGAACGAUAAGUUUAUAAAUAAAAUGCAUAUUAUAUAAAUUGUUCGCAAGGCGGGGAGACGAAGUAAUACUUUAACUGUUUAAGAACUAUGUAUGUACAUACAUACAUGUAUGUAUGUACCAAUGAAGUAAAUGCAUUCAAUGGCUACUAAAUGGAUAAAUGGAUUCAUGCUUGCUUCCGUCAUCAGAUAUCACAUACAUACAUACAUGUGUGUGUGUGUGUGUGUGUUUGCACAUAAAUAAAUAAGAGAGGAAUGUUUUGCAAGGCACAAAGUUCAAUUGCACUUUUUAGCUAACAGAUUUUAACAAAAAUGUGCGUCAAUGGAAGGGAAAUGAUAGAACAGAACAGCUUUGGCCUACUAAGCGGGCCCUGUCCGGGGUCGGUGCAUCAAUCCAAUCUGCAUCUUCUGUUCGGUUCCACGCCCAAGUCGGAAUCGGAAUCGGAAUCGUAUCCGAAGCUGGAGCUGGAGCUGCCUUUGUGCGAAAACAUAACCGCAGCAGAAGCAAGUUUUUUUAUGGUGCUGAGUGCUGAUGUUGUAUAAUGAUGAACCCAGCAACAAAACCAGAAGCAUCAUCAAAAGUCCAAUAUCGGGAGGAGCUACAAAAGCAGCUUCUGGUCUGGCCGCAGUAUUUGAUGCCCUUGCAAAUCGAUCACUUCCAUGGAGGCGCUUGCUGAGUAUCUUCAGAUAGUCCAGUCCAAAAGCCUGACGUUGCCUCGACGCUUUUAAACUCGGUAUUGUUUGAACGAUAUUUGUAUGUACAACAUAUGUACAUAUGUAUGUAUUCUGCACUCCGUCCAUUCUAACCUAUUGACCAAUAUUCCAGCUGUAUGCACAUAAGUACAUGUGCGUAUGUGUUCUAAGUGUAGAUAUCACCAUAUGCGAUGACGACUUUGACCCAACUAUACGAAACCAACGCAAACGCAAACACAAACGCCAACGCCAACGCCAAUGCCCUGAUUACACUCG